UAUUUCCCAUUACAUACUCCAUAUAAUUUUUGUCUCACCAUUUUUCUCCGUUUAUGUUUUGUCACUAAAAUUUAUUUAACCACAAAACCAAAUAAACCCAAAGAAUCCUAAAACCACAAACCAAAAACCCAACAAAAAGGACCAGCACCAAGGACCUUUUUCUCUCUGGCAAAUUGAGGUAGUAGGUUGUAUAGUAGUACUUCAGAUCGUACUAUACAAUGUGCUAGCUUUCUUUGCUUGACUAUAAGCCUCAUUUAAACAGCCCCCACCCAUAGCCCCCGAACAGCUGCCCUCAGCACCAAAUAAAAGUGUGGAAUAAAAAAUAUACAAACUUGAAAAUGUACAUAAAAAAGUGCCUGCUGUAAUGCGAAAAAUAUUCUUGAAAAUUGGCAUCGAUGCGGAUGUCGAACUGCAGUUUCUGAUAUGAUUUGUACGAGUAUCUGCAUAAACGUCCGAGUAUCCAAGUAUCCGAGUAGUCCCCGAGUAUUGUUUCACAAGUUUUGAUCUCCGGUAUUGGACGCAAACUUGCUGAUGUUAUACAAAAAGAAAAGACUAAAAAAGAGACAAGCAAAAACGCAAAAAAAACUGAA